UACCAGCACCCCGAGUGGUCGGGACGAUUAUUGGGCCUAAAGCAUCCGUAGCCGGUUCUACAAGUCCUCCGUUAAAUCCACCUGCUCAACGGAUGGGCUGCGGAGGAUACCGCAGAGCUAGGAGGCGGGAGAGGCAAACGGUACUCAGUGGGUAGGGGUAAAAUCCAUUGAUCUACUGAAGACCACCAGUGGCGAAGGCGGUUUGCCAGAACGCACUCGACGGUGAGGGAUGAAAGCUGGGGGAGCAAACCGG
rnacentral:rRNA from 1 species